rnacentral:rRNA from 1 species
GACGAACCGUGCGAACGUUAUUCGGAAUCACUGGGCUUAAAGCGCGUGUAGGCGGAUGGGUGCGUCGGCUUCUGAAAGCCCCCGGCUCAACCGGGGAAGUGGGGCCGAAACGACCCGUCUGGAGGGACGUAGGGGGAUCUGGAACUCCGGUGGAGCGGUGAAAUGCGUUGAGAUCGGAAGGAACGCCCGUGGCGAAAGCGAGAUCCUGGACGUCUUCUGACGCUGAGACGCGAAAGCUAGGGGAGCAAACGGGG